rnacentral:rRNA from 1 species
UACGAAGGGGGCUAGCGUUGCUCGGAAUCACUGGGCGUAAAGCGCACGUAGGCGGCUUAUUAAGUCAGAGGUGAAAUCCUGGAGCUCAACUCCAGAACUGCCUUUGAUACUGAUGAGCUUGAGUUCGGGAGAGGUGAGUGGAACUGCGAGUGUAGAGGUGAAAUUCGUAGAUAUUCGCAAGAACACCAGUGGCGAAGGCGGCUCACUGGCCCGAUACUGACGCUGAGGCACGAAAGCGUGGGGAGCAAACAGG